rnacentral:tRNA from 1 species
UGCGAGGUAGUGCAACCGGCACCACGCCUGGCUCUGAACCAGGAAAUCCGGGUUCGAAUCCUGGCCUCGCAGCCA